ACUGCAUUAAUGUGAUCCCCUGACAGUGUUCUCUAGAAUAAGCAGGCCCAGCUUCCAGUCUCCCCUCAUAAAAGAGAAGCUCCAGGCCCCAAAUGAUCUUUGUGGGCCCCCACUGGACCCUCUCUUAUAGCUCCUUGUCUUUCUUGUACUGAGGACCCCAGAAUCACAAGUGUGCCUCCUCACUUAAAAGCAGAUAUGCUGGAUAAAUGCCUUACUCCUUUGUAGCAGAUUUUCUUCCAAUGCAGAAAUAAGUUUUUUCAAUUGUAUCUUCCAAUUUAGAGACUUGUCUUUUAUGUUUUUUAAUCCAAAAUUAUUUUUUAAUGUUUUCUGCUAAACACCAAAUAAAUAACUAAAUUAAUUAAUUAAUAGAAAUACAAUAGCUUUCCUGACCACCAAACAGAGAUUGGUUUAUGUUUCUGAGCUUCUGAAUAUUUGUGAUUGUUCACUGCUAGGCUGUAUCAGAACUGCAGUGUUUGAGGAAGGGAAGGCAGUUUUGCAGAACAUGCUGAAAAGUUACAUAAGACACAAUCGUGAUUACACUGUUUUAAUUCUGUUGUGUACAAAACGUAUUUACACUGACUUCCAGAAAGGUUAACUUCCAUAACAAUUCUCUAUAUGUGCCACAUGAAAAACAAAGGACUUAGUGCCCCGUUUGUGCAUUCUGGGUCAGGAAAUGCUGGAAGUGUCUAUUUCUAGAAAAUGGUAGCUGGCUGUACCUGAGCCCAAUGUUUUCCAUUGCUGCACAUCAUGAGACUCUUGGUGAACAAUUCCCUGGACAUGGGAGGUUCAAAUUUCUGAAAGGCUUAGCCAGGUCUUUUAGCAUGCUGUUUAAGAAGAAAAGAGAGAGAAGUCAGUAUGUACUGCAUCGGUACAGGACAACACAUAAAUGUCUCAAGGGCACAACUUUUCUCCUUCAGGAUGAACUGUUAGAGCAAAGGACAGCCUUCCAGUGA
rnacentral:lncRNA from 1 species